rnacentral:rRNA from 1 species
UUAGUGGCGGACGGGUGAGUAACGCGUGGAUAACCUGCCGUAUACAGGGGGAUAACACUUAGAAAUAGGUGCUAAUACCGCAUAAGCGCACGGUUCCGCAUGGAACAGUGUGAAAAACUCCGGUGGUAUACGAUGGAUCCGCGUCUGAUUAGGUAGUUGGUGAGGUAACGGCCCACCAAGCCGACGAUCAGUAGCCGACCUGAGAGGGUGACCGGCCACAUUGGGACUGAGACACGGCCCAAACUCCUACGGGAGGCAGCAG